rnacentral:rRNA from 1 species
GCUGACAAGUCUACAGCCCGAACACGCCCGAUCCCAUCUGAUCUGGGAAGCUAAGCAGGGUCAGAUCUGGUUAGUACUUGGAUAGGAGACCACCUAGGAAGACCAGGUGCUGUAGGCA